rnacentral:rRNA from 1 species
GACGAACCGUGCGAACGUUAUUCGGAAUCACUGGGCUUAAAGCGCGUGUAGGCGGGACGGCACGUCGGUCGCUGAAAUCCCCCGGCUUAACCGGGGAACGGGCGUCGAUACGACCGUCCUGGAGGGGCGUAGGGGGACCUGGAACUUCCGGUGGAGCGGUGAAAUGCGUUGAGAUCGGAAGGAACGCCCGUGGCGAAAGCGAGGUCCUGGACGCCUACGUGACGCUGAGACGACGGAAA